CACUCAACAGCUAGCCCUCCCAUAUACUUCAACACUCAACUAUUUAUACUCUAAAAAACACUUAAUAUGUCAACCAAACCAUUUUACCGCUUUAGUACAGGAGAUGAAAAAAGAACUAGGCGCAAUAGAAAAAGUACCGCAAGGGAACGCUGAAAAAGAAAUGAAACAACGCAGUAAAGUAACAUAAAGCAGAGCUAUUUCCUCGUACCUUUUGCAUCAUGUUUUAGCCAGAGCCCCUCAAGCAAAAAGCAUUUUAGUUUGACUACCCGAAACCAGACGAGCUACUUCAAGAUAGCCUAACAAAUAGGGCCAACCCGUCUCUGUGGCAAAAGAGUGGGAAAAGCUUCAAGUAGAGGUGAUAAACCUACCGAGCCUGGUUAUAGCUGGUUACCUGAAAAUUGAAUAGAAGUUCAGCCCCUUGAAUUCUCAAGCCCAAACUGGCUAUCCUCAGCUAAGACUAAAAGAAAUCUAGAGAGUUAUUCAAAGGGGGUACAGCCCCUUUGAAACAAGACACAACUUUUACAGACGGAUAAGGAUCAAAUUUACCAAGG
rnacentral:rRNA from 1 species